rnacentral:misc_RNA from 1 species
GAAAGAGCAUCACUGGAAGCUUUAUUGGUAGCAUGAAGGAAACAGAGGAAGUGCUACAUUUUUGCAAAGAAAAAGGUGUUACUUCUCAAAUUGAAAUGGUGAAAAUGGAUUAUAUCAACACUGCAAUGGAAAGGUUGGAGAAAAAUGAUGUGAGGUACAGAUUUGUGGUGGAUGUUGCUGGAAGCAAGCUUGACCAGUAAUAUUACACAAGAAAAGGCUAUAUAAUAUAAUAUAAAGAGAAAUAUUGGAAUACUCAACUUCGAUAUUGUCAUCGUUUGUUUCCUUCAAUUUGUGCUUGUAUUUUGUUAUUUUUAAAUUGAACCUGUAUUAUCGUGUUUGGUGAUUGAAUGUU